AACCAGCGCAGACUGGCGCGCCCCAGGGAUGUCUGGGGGAGUAUCUCUCUGAGCGCCUCACUCUCAAGCACGACUGGGAGC
rnacentral:pre_miRNA from 1 species